UACGAAGGGGGCUAGCGUUGUUCGGAAUUACUGGGCGUAAAGCGCACGUAGGCGGACUAUUAAGUCAGGGGUGAAAUCCCGGGGCUCAACCCCGGAACUGCCUUUGAUACUGGUAGUCUCGAGUCCGGAAGAGGUGAGUGGAAUUCCGAGUGUAGAGGUGAAAUUCGUAGAUAUUCGGAGGAACACCAGUGGCGAAGGCGGCUCACUGGUCCGGUACUGACGCUGAGGUGCGAAAGCCAGGGGAGCGAAUGGG
rnacentral:rRNA from 1 species